rnacentral:rRNA from 1 species
GAUGAACGCUAGCUACAGGCUUAACACAUGCAAUUCGAGGGGUAGCAUGGUAGCAAUACCGCUGACGACCGGCGCACGGUUGAGUAACACGUAUCCAACCUUCCCAUAACUCGUGGAUAGCCUUUCGAAAGAAAGAUUAAUACCCGAUAGUACUUUUUCACGGCAUCUUGCGAAAGUUAUAGAUUUAUCGGUUAUGGAUGGGGAUGCGGUCCAUUAGAUAGUUGGUGCGGUAACGGCUCACCAAGCCUUCGAUGGAUAGGGGUUCUGAGAGGAAGGUCCCCCACAUUGGUACUGAGACACGGACCGAACGCCUACGAGAGGCAGCAGUGAGGAAUAUUGGUCAAUGGGCGAGAGCCUGAGCCAGCCAAGUAGCGUGAAGGAUGAAGGUCCGAUGGAUUGUAAACUUCUUUUAUAGUAGAAUAAAGUGAUCCACGUGUGGAUUUUUGUACGUAUACUAUGAAUAAGGAUCGGCUAACUCCGUGCCAGCCGCCGCAGUAA